GGUGAACGCUGGCGGCGUGCCUAAUACAUGCAAGUCGAGCGAACGGACGAGAAGCUUGCUUCUCUGAUGUUAGCGGCGGACGGGUGAGUAACACGUGGAUAACCUACCUAUAAGACUGGGAUAACUUCGGGAAACCGGAGCUAAUACCGGAUAAUAUUUUGAACCGCAUGGUUCAAAAGUGAAAGACGGUCUUGCUGUCACUUAUAGAUGGAUCCGCGCUGCAUUAGCUAGUUGGUAAGGUAACGGCUUACCAAGGCAACGAUGCAUAGCCGACCUGAGAGGGGGAAAGGGCCAACGGGAAAGGGAGACCGGGCCAGACCCCCAAGGGGGGGAGCAGGUGGGAAAUUUCCCCAAAGGGGGGAAACCCUGACGGGGAAAGGCCGGGGGGGGAAAGAGGUUCUUGGGUUGGAAAACCUUUUUUAUUGGGAAAAAAAAAUUGGGAAAGUAACGGGGCCAACUUGAAGGGAACCAAUCAAAAAGGCCACGGCAAACUAGGG
rnacentral:rRNA from 1 species